rnacentral:rRNA from 1 species
UGCAGUCGAGGGGCAGCGCAGUGUAGCAAUACAUGGGCGGCGACCGGCAAACGGGUGCGGAACACGUACGCAACCUUCCUUCAAGCGGGGCAUAGCUUUCGGAAACGAAAAUUAAUACCCCAUAGUAAUGUCUGAGGGCAUCUGAGGACAUUUAAAGAUUUAUCACUUGAAGAUGGGCGUGCGCCUGAUUAGGUAGUUGGCGGGGUAACGGCCCACCAAGCCUACGAUCAGUAACUGGUGUGAGAGCACGACCAGUCACACGGGCACUGAGACACGGGCCCGACUCCUACGGGAGGCAGCAGUAAGGAAUAUUGGUCAAUGGACGCAAGUCUGAACCAGCCAUGCCGCGUGGAGGAUGAAGGUCCUCUGGAUUGUAAACUUCUUUUAUCGGAGAAGAAACCCCUGAAUUCUUUUAGGGUUGACGGUACCCGAUGAAUAAGCACCGGCUAACUCCGUGCCAGCAGCCGCGGUAAUACGGAGGGUGCAAGCGUUAUCCGGAUUCACUGGGUUUAAAGGGAGCGUAGGUGGGCUGGUAAGUCAGUGGUGAAAUCUCCGGGCUUAACUCGGAAACUGCCGUUGAUACUAUCAGUCUUGAAUGUUGUGGAGGUAAGCGGAAUAUGUCAUGUAGCGGUGAAAUGCUUAGAUAUGACAUAGAACACCGAUAGCGAAGGCAGCUUGCUACACAAUUAUUGACACUGAGGCUCGAAAGCGUGGGGAUCAAACAGGAUUAGAUACCCUGGUAGUCCACGCCCUAAACGAUGGAUACUCGACAUAUGCGAUACACUGUAUGUGUCUGAGCGAAAGCAUUAAGUAUCCCACCUGGGAAGUACGACCGCAAGGUUGAAACUCAA